AUGGCGGACAAGGAGCCCGUCGUGGAGCGCCCCGUCGCGGAGGAGGAAGGCGAGGACUCCGCCGCCGCGGCCGCCGCCGGCGAGGAGGAGGACACCGGUGCCCAGGUCGCCCCCAUCGUGCGGCUCGAGGAGGUCGCCGUCACCACCGGCGAGGAGGACGAGGACUCUCUCCUCGACAUGAAGGCGAAGCUAUACAGGUUCGACAAGGACGGGAACCAGUGGAAGGAGAGGGGCACGGGCACCGUCAAGCUGCUCAAGCAUAAGGAGAACGGCAAGGUCCGCCUUGUUAUGCGCCAGGCCAAGACGCUUAAGAUCUGCGCCAACCACCUAGUGAUCUCGACCACGAAGAUGCAGGAACACGCCGGCAGCGACAAGUCCUGUGUCUGGCACGCGGCAGACUUUGCUGACGGAGAGCUUAAGGAUGAGAUGUUUGCCAUCCGGUUUGGCACCGUGGAGAAUUGCAAGAAGUUUAAGGACUUGGUUGACGAGAUCGCUGAGUCGCUUGCAAAGAAUGAGGGCGGUGAAAGCGAAGAAGGUUCUUCUGCGGCCGGACUGCUGGAGAAACUUAGUGUAAGCGAAAGCAAACCUGAGGAAAGUGCAGCUAAGGAGGAAUCGACUGAUGCUAGCAAGGAGACAGAAACCAAAGCCGCAACAGCCCCCUCAGAGUAG
rnacentral:rRNA from 1 species